CAGGCAACGCUUCGCUGAACUCGCCGUGCCCCGACCCGGAGACGUCACAUCCCAUUACGGAGACCGAAUCGGGGGUCUGUCUGCCGUCGUUUUAUAUCGUGAUGCUACGGCUGUCGUCGGGCUGUCGGCUGCCUCUACUGUGACAUCUCCUCCGUCUCCGUCGUCUGUGACGUCAUCCGAGUCGAGCGAACGCGGACGCGAGCUUGAGGGGUGAUCGCAGGGUCAGAAUUUCACUCUGACAGGCUAUUCGUCAUCCAGGGGGGCAGGCGAGGCAAAAAUUAACUCACCGUUUAAACAGAGGAGUGUUGCAUGCACAUUUAAUGCCUUAAAAAGGGGAAAGCAGCCAUGACGAUAUGCAGUUUGUACCAGAAACUCCAGCGCAGACCAGGUGGACCAGAGCAAGGCCUAAUUACCGGCUUAAAUCGGAGAGAUUACGGUCCGCUGCCCCUUCAGCCGAGUCCAAUUGCAAACAGAACUAUGACCAUAAAACCUUCACUCUACAUCUAAUUUAGCAAUAAGCCUACAGAAGAUUGUGUCCUCUUUGCUCUGCAGAGGUCUGCAGCAAUGAGGAAUGGCCAUCGGCUGGCCCUACAGCCAUUAUUCACUGCAUACCGGCCAAGCUCAGCUAUAAUGUCCGUUCUGCUCUUAUAGACCCGGACAAUACUGGACAGCAGGUGGUAACAUAUGCAGUCACGGUAUACGGCAGUGUGGGUCUGACAAUAACAUUACCCUUUUUUUCUGGUGAUAGCCACAACCUUAACUAUCCUGAAAUCUGUCACGAUACGAUACAACUGUAUGACACUGUAGUGUUUUCUUCUAUAAACAGAACCGUCCACAUCUGUCCACCUUCUAGCUCCUCAUCCCGUGUCAGCUGUUGGGGUGGGGAACUGGAGCAGGGAACAAGACCAAUACGCCUUGGAUAACAUGCCGGUUAUAAACAGCUCUUAGCCGGUUUCAGAGCCACUGUAAGAGUCCUUGGGAGGCUCAACACAACAGCCUCAGUGACUACUGGGAAACCAGGCUCUCUGACCUGCUUUGAACACAAACAUCACCUGAGGAUGGCAGGACCAGGGCAGGUCAUUGACACAGUUUAUACAGCUCACUGGAGCCUGGGACAGGCACCAGGCUCCCCAGGACCCUGACCAGGAGAAGCGGAUGGAUGGAUGGUUAAAUCUCCACCACGAUUUUGUUUCAGUCAACCAGUUGAGUAUAAAGAGUCACAGUGAUAGAGUACUCAACACUUUCUGGACCUGAACUAUCCAUUUCUGGUUUUGGGUGAUCUUUUGCACGGCAUGUAAUUGGUCUGCAAACCUACGGUAAGUCAACCACAGCCACAGGUAACACAGUGUAACCCAGACUGCACAGAAUUCCUAUGUAGGGUCAGCUGGACAGAUGAAGAAGAGAACAAGACAUUAGAGAAGGUGAGAGUAAGACUCUCCCCUAUAUGUGUGGAAAGCAUGUGCGUUUGUUCAUGUUAUGUGUUUCUUUGUGUUAUGGGACUUUUUAGUUAGCCUUUAUAUACUCUGUUGAGUUUGCCUUUGGUGAAGUCUUAACCUGACCAAGGGGAGGUUCUUAUUGGCAGACCUUCUCCAUGAAGAUAUACACGACCUAGUGACUUCUACCUGGGUCCCCUCGCAGUUUACUGGCUGCAGUCACGUUCAGAUUCCGCGACUGCACCUGUGGGCUCUCUCGACCCAUUCGUUAAGGCGGAUAUUCGAGUCAAACGACACGGCGCCAAACGUGAAGCGCGGCACACCCGGAUGAGCUGGCAACGUCCUGGCAUCCGACAGGGUCACGUUCAAUGCAUGUCAGAGAUGUCUCAGCGUUCAUGGGAACAUAAUCCUGUCCCGCUGCGGAAGUCACAGGUACCUAGCAACCAUGGAAUGCAAAACAGCAGCAACUUUCAGAAUUAUGAAAUGCCAGAAUCUAAACUAAAACUAAAUUAAGAUGGAAUGGAAAGGCAGCUGAAGUACGCUACGGUGAGAAGGCAUAUUAUGCGGCAGUGUAUUGUAAUUAAGCUCAGCUGAUCCACCUUUCCGUCAUUGUAAACUAUUCGUUUUUCCACUGCAGUCAGCCUGAUAGGCUCCCAUGCCAAGCCGUGUUGACUUUUAAAAUACUUUACAUGGUGUGGUCAGCUAGUGGCCGAGAUAUGGUGACAAUCCCCCUGGCUGUUUUAUAAAUAAACCCAACGAAGUGUGUGUGAGCUGAUGCCACUUUACUUCUAACCCAAGUUUCCAGGCAGUCUUCAGUAAGCAUUGCUGUCUUUGGGUGGAGAAUGUGAGAAACGGCCGACUAGCACGGCUAGGCUGUUAAUCCCUCAUUCAUAUACGAUAUACUGGGAAACUGGGAGAAGAAUCUAACCAGUAGCUAAAGAAAGCCCAUAAAUUCCCCUGAGGACCUGGUUCAGUUAAGUCUGCUUGGUUGUUUAGAGAUUAUUUACAGGAAAGCUUUCUUAGAAUUGACCGUAGGCACCAAUGGGAUCGGAAGAUGGGUGGAUCUUCAUGUGGUCUUAUGCUGAAUAUCCAAGGUAUGGUUAGGUUACUGGAGUAACUUUUGCUGGCAAGUGUUUUUCCUGCUUAGAACACUGCCCAUAUGAGAAUGAAUACAGGACCCGGGGUUUUGUGUAGUGUGCAUCAUGUAGUGUGCAUCAUGUAGUGUGCAUCAUGUGGAAACCAUCUGUACUGUAGGUUAGAUGAGUCUGCACUUAUCUGGUGUCAUUUCUGUGGAUGAGAUAAGACACUGACUAUACUACCAAGCCCAGUUCAGCACUGCAACACUGCAAAAGUCUAUUACAAGUCUAUCAGAAACUGUGGUAAAUGAUACAGUGUGGUAUGACAUAAAGCCCUAAACCUUUCUGAAAUUUGAACCUUUUGGCAGCUGAAUCACAAAGGGGAGAAAAUGGGAUUUAGAAAUAUUGUGAUUGAUGUAUUCUGAAUGAAAGUUUCUUUUACUUUGUUUAAGAAAUAGAUCAGAAGAAUGUGACUUCAUUUUCCUUAUAUAUUCUGGCAGAGCUGAUGAGAAACCUUUGAAAGGCUUGGAUGGACCUAAUUAAACAUGAAAAUGAGCAAUCGGUCUUGUUCAUGGACUCAGGGUAGGAGAUGACUCUGAGCAGCCUCCACAACCCCUAACUGGAGAGGCCUGGCUCUCUUCCCUGCCCCCUAGUACACUGUAGAGGAGAUGAAAGGUCACAGCUGGACUGAUCUCAGCUCAGUGAGGAAUGCUGGAGUAUUACUAAUUAACCGCACCUGCGCUCCCAUGAAGGUAGGAAACAAUCGAUACGUUCAGCACGGAGCAGGUGACCCACCCAGGCUUAACAUGGACCGUAAUCGGAGGCGGUCAAUCUAAGUUUUCCAUUGAUGCGCUUUGACUUCUACUCUAAGGUGGAACCUCGUCAUUUUAAUCUUUUUUAAAAAAAAAAAAAAAAAAAACACACGUGAGCCCUUGAUUACUGAAUAAUCUCACAUAUACAAAUAAAAUCAUUCAAACACACAAUAUUUCCACUUCGCAUCAACAGGAAAACUGAAAAGAGUUAAUCCCUCAUCCUACUCCAAGGAAACGAUUUAGCACAAAAUCUAUUCACGCAAAGGAGUCUAAGAAAUCAGACACCCCAUUACGCAACCUAACACUCAGAAACUGGCCCGAAAAGCAGCGCUACUUUCCUCAUUCUACCUUUUCAAAGUGGCGGCUUCAUUCUGCGUUAGACGCUGCGGAAACCGCAUUUUAAGUCGGUGCGGGAACAAUAGUGACAGUGACAUCUCCAAUUGCCAUGAAACCGAUGCUGCUCUUCACCAGCGCAGGACCUGGACGCUUUUCAGAAGUAACACAUAAGUACAGAUGCUGCUCUCCCUGCCGCUGCCAGGCAUGUAUCUGACGAGUAAUCUUACAUUUUAAAUUAAAUCUUGUAGUCCAUUCUUUUCUGGUACGAACGGAUACUACCAACUGGUAGCAUUAACUCUUAACAUUCCACGUGGCGACAAUAAUUUGUAGCAAAAAAAAAAACUAAUGUACGGUUGUAGCCUACAUUUAUAUUCGAACAGCAACAUAAUACUAAUUAAAAUAAUAAUAAUAAUAUUGAACAAUAAUAACGCAGGUGUAUAUAGUCCGCGCUCUGUGUGUGAAAAGUCCGAUCAUUUUAAUUUAUUCAGGCGGGGAUGUAAGAAGUUAAAACAGAGAAACGAGUCCUACUAUUUGAAAUCAAUCAAUUCAAUCGCUUAUGACUUUCCAACUAAUCUGCUUAUGAAAGGUGGACCAGAAACGACAGCAGUCAGAAGAAAAGCAAACA